CUAAAGCAUCUCGCUUACACCGAGAAAACACCUGUGAAAACCAGGUUAUUUCGA
rnacentral:tRNA from 1 species